AAACCAACAGGGAUUGCCCUAGUAACGGCGAGUGAAGCGGCAACAGCUCAAAUUUGAAAUCUGGCUCUUUCAGAGUCCGAGUUGUAAUUUGCAGAGGGCGCUUUGGUGUUGGCAGCGGUCCAAGUUCUUUGGAACAGGACGUCACAGAGGGUGAGAAUCCCGUACGUGGUCGCUAGCCCUCACCGUGUAAAGCCCCUUCGACGAGUCGAGUUGUUUGGGAAUGCAGCUCUAAAUGGGAGGUAAAUUUCUUCUAAAGCUAAAUACUGGCCAGAGACCGAUAGCGCACAAGUAGAGUGAUCGAAAGAUGAAAAGCACUUUGGAAAGAGAGUCAAAUAGCACGUGAAAUUGUUGAAAGGGAAGCGCUUGCAGCCAGACUUGCCUGUAGUUGCUUAUCCGGACUUUUGUCCGGUGCACUCUUCUGCGGGCAGGCCAGCAUCAGUUUGGGCGGUUGGAUAAAGGUCUCUGUCAUGUACCUCCUUUCGGGGAGGCCUUAUAGGGGAGACGACAUGCAACCAG
rnacentral:rRNA from 1 species